AUUCUCCACCACUCAUUUUCACACUAUUCGUUUUCUCUCUUUUGGCCAGUCAUCCCUUUUCUUCCUUUUGUUUUCUUUCUUUUCUCUUCACUUAAACACACACUCCUCUCUAUCAGUCCCUCACACUCUCCCACUAGUACACUCCACACCACCAUCUCUACCAUCAUUUUUUCGGCAAGAUCACCUGAAAUUCUUUAAGAACCUCUAAGCACCUUCACAUUUUUUAUUUGAGAUUUAGUUCAGUGCCCUUUCACUUUGGAUGACACAUUCUUCCCUGCUACCCAUGGGAGGAAGAGGUUCAUUAAUUGUGUGUGGGUGAGGCUGCUGCCCAUGGGGCCAAAAGGCCAUAUGCAAAAGAUGUCCUAUUUGACGUGUUCUCCUUGCUGCUCAUGGGGGGAAAGACAAAACCUGGAGGGUAUGGGUGAGGCUGCUAACCAUGGGGCCAAGAGACUGCAUAUCAGAGAGAAAAAUAUCAUGUCAAUUGUGAAUGAGUGGAUCCCCUAACUAGUCAAUGUGGUAGUGUGGUAUAUUUGUGAUAAAUUUCCAUAUGUUAGAUUUCUAUGUUAGAUUUUAUGGCUUUGGAAUUAUAUUGUUAAUACUCACAGAUUAUAGUAUAUAGUUUCAAGGUAUUUAUUUUGAGAAAUUUUGUGUUUUAUUAUUUAAUCAUUCUUGUCAUACUAUUAUUGAAAUAAUCUUCCAGUAUUCAGUUAGAAUUUCCCAAAUUAAAA